rnacentral:rRNA from 1 species
UACAGAGGGGGCAAGCGUUAUUCGGAAUUAUUGGGCGUAAAGGGCUCGUAGGCGGCCAACUAAGUCAGACGUGAAAUCCCUCGGCUUAACCGGGGAACUGCAUCUGAUACUGGAUGGCUUGAGAUUGGGAGAGGGAUGCGGAAUUCCAGGUGUAGCGGUGAAAUGCGUAGAUAUCUGGAGGAACACCGGUGGCGAAGGCGGCAUCCUGGACCAACACUGACGCUGAAGAGCGAAAGCCAGGGGAGCAAACGGG